rnacentral:lncRNA from 1 species
CUGUCUGUGCAACUGAAGUGCUAUGCAGGCCUGUCGGUGAGACUGUCAUGCAGGCUUGUCUGUGUGAUUGUCAGGGAGAAUUGACCUACCAUAAAGGAAACAUGGUAUUUUACUUCCAAGAGGAAUUGCUAAGAGGCAUUGCAUAUUUCUAUCAUCUUUCUUGCUUUUCUUUCUGCCACAAGAAUGACAUAGUCUAAAAAGCAGCUGCUCUGACAGCUUGGAUUGCAGAAUGAGGAAAUAUAUAAAGGAGAACAUAAGUGACAUACAGCAUAAGCAAAAUAUAAAUGUUUGUUGUGUAAGUUACUGAGACUGGGAACCAUUUUUUUUUUUUUGCUACAGCAAAGUCAACACAAAAAUAAAUGUUAUUUGGAAGGAUGAUACAGAAUGACUUCAACAGGAAACAUAGGCAAGGAUAAAAUAGACUUCCUCCAGAAAGAAAUGGGCAUGUAAAUAAAUACAUAUAGUUUCCCAAAUGAAUGCAACUAGAAUUGGUGUUAACUUCUCUUCCACAGAACUGUGUGCAAGACAAGGCACAAUCUAUGGAAUUUUGAGAAAAUUGGGUGGUGACAUUAUAUAUGGCUAAGGCAUUUAUGUGAGCCUUCUGAAAAGCAUUCUAAGACUAUUGAUGAAUGCACUUACAGAAAGAGCAAGGACACGUGAUGCAGAAGCAACUGGAAUCCAGGAACAGAACUCCUCCAGGUGUCUCCAUUCCUUUCUGCGUCUCUCCAUGUGUCGUCUUUUCAAUGCAGAGAAAGUUGCAUAUUAUUAUGCAUAAGAAAUUUACAGCUUACAAAGCCUUGCAAGAACUCUUGAGACCAGUUGGGAAAGACAGAGAAAGAGAGAGAGAAAAAAUUGACUUCUGCUUAAAUCGUGUUAAAAAAACAAAAUGUAAAACUUAAAACAUUUCCAAAGAAGUUCUCCACCAGUUAAAUGAGGUAAUAAUAUCUAGGUUAAAAAUUCCAAAUCAUAUCAUUAAAGGUAGAGACUAAGAUUUGAGACAGGCACUUGUGAUAAAAGUGUACUAAACUCCUUGAAUAAGUUGGGCAAAGUACAGGAAGUAGACAAAAAAAAUAAUUAAUAGAAAAUAAGUUUUGAAAAUUGUACCUUUUAUUACAUUAUUAUUAAUUGACAAAUAGUGAAAAUAUGCUAAGCAACUGACUCAGGAAAAAGAAUAAUAACCUACGCUAAUAUUAUGAAAUUAAGACUUAUUAAAAUAAAAUCAGCAAUAAAUAAGAUAAAAAUGUAAUAGAUAAAUUAAAUAUUUGAUUUUCUUGAAAAAGAAGAUGUGGACAAACUUCUGGGAAACAGAAGUAAAAAUACACAGGAUUAACUGAAAAAAACAAUUAGAGAUGGCUGAGAACAUUUGAAAAUUAGAGAAUAACAUUCAAUUUUCUAUAAAUACAUUUAAAAUUUUCUUAAAAGUAGAUAUUUUUCUACCAAAAUACAAAUUAUGAAGACUAAUUUAAACAGAUGUAGAGAAUCCAAAAUGGACCAAUGGUGAAGGAAGAAAUGAAAAAAAAGACAAAAUAUUGUCAAGAACCCACACCCACACAAAACUAAUCUUAUGUUCUUAUAGAAUAUACAAAAGGUGGAGCUCAUUUUUAUGUAGGCAGUACAAUAAAAUAUGAAACCUAAAAAAUAUACUCUUGCAUAACUCCUCAAAAGAAUUCUAGGAUAAUAGAUUUUAAAUCUAAGUAGUAAAACUUAAGAAAACAAAUGAGUACUCAUUCAAUAUUAAGGCAGAAUGGAUUUUGUAAACUUGAGCUAAUCAGAUGAAACUGUGGAGCGUAGUCUGCUUUUACUAUGUAAAUAGGAAAAAAAUGAAUAACGUUGCAAAGUAAAUAACCUAUGGCAAACACUUUGUAAUUUGAUAGAAAACAUUAUUUUCUCAGCAUCUAAAAUAUUCUGGCAGAUUAAUCACAAAACAUGAAUACCUGAAUUUAAAAUGAAAAUUUAGACCAGUAUAUGAAUGGGAGAUUCACAACAGAAAAUUUAUAAAUAACUGAUAAAACCUUGUAGAUAUAUUCAAUGUUUUUUGUAUUAAAAAAAUGGAAAUUAAAGAUAAAUUGAAAUACCAUAUUUUUAUUUGUAAAUUUGGCAAAAGCUCUAAUAUCCAGGGUUGGAGAAAAUACUUACAAUGUGGUUUCACACACAGUCUUGUCAAGAGCAUAAAUUUGUACAAUUUUUCUAGAAAGAAAUUUUAUAAUUUGUGUAGGAAACCAUGAAACCCUGCGAGAAUUUGUAUUAUAAAUAAUACUUUCAGGAAUUUAUCCUAAAGACACAAUCGAGGGUGAACAUUAAGCUUUAUAUAAAAAUACUUUCCUAAAAAAUUAUUUAAAAUAAUGAUGAUAAUAACUGGAACAAACCAGAAUGUACAUUGAGAGAUGACUGGUUAAUUUAUGAAACACCAUGUGAUAAAAUAUGGUUUAGUCAAUAAUGUUAAUAAUAAAAUAAAUAUUUAUUUACAUGGAAAGAUAUAUAUUUUAACUAUAAAAUAUUUUUGACAGAGUAGAAUGCUAUUCUGUAUAUUUAAAAAUGAAAAUUUUUAUAACAAAUAAUAGCCGCUCCUAACUGCGAUAAGUAACUUUGCAGACUUUUGUAUGCAUAUUCAUGUAACAUUAACAGAUAAUAGUUAUUCCACACACAAAGACUAUUUUGAUGUAAGCAAAGAAUUGGCUUUUUAAAAAUUGUGUACAUAAAAAUGUAGUCUGGAUAAUAAACUUUGAC